GCUCUAUCUACAAUGAUGGCUCAGGGCGAGCCAGCAUCGACGGCGCUAUUCGUGACAGCUCUGGCUGUGUUGUGCUUGCGUUUGCUGAGCGAGGAGUGACAACUAUGAAUUGAGCGCUAGUGGCAUGGAGGUACAUGGUGUUGGGGAGUGCGGCAGUGACAGAGGUGGCAACCACCCGCACCCACUACUCUAAAGGUACUUUUAUAGCAAGAAAUUGAAAGGUAAAACAUAGUUUAUAUAUAUAUAUAUAUACCUAUGUAAGAUAAAAAAUAGCUAUUCUUAUAAGAAGUUUACAAAUAAUGAAGUUCUAUAACUACAUUAUUAGUGUCACACACUAGCUAUAGGAAUAAAUAUAAAACUAAGAAAUAAAUACAUAGUGAUAAUUUGCAUCCUAAUUUUAGAUUUAUAAUUGGAAUCAAAACUCUACAAAGGGUUGAAACUAGAAACUUGGAAUAAAAAAAUUAGUAAAGAGCUAGAUUAACAAUUGUUUGGAACUUUGAGUUUUGAAUAGGUUAUGAGGUGAGUAGAGAGGAGAGAGCCAAUGUCAUCUAGGAUUUACUAAUGAGAGGAAGGGAG
rnacentral:lncRNA from 1 species